UACGGGGGGGGGCAAGCGUUGUUCGGAAUUACUGGGCGUAAAGGGCUCGUAGGUGGCCAACUAAGUCAGACGUGAAAUCCCUCGGCUUAACCGGGGAACUGCGUCUGAUACUGGAUGGCUUGAAUCCGGGAGAGGGAUGCAGAAUUCCAGGUGUAGCGGUGAAAUGCGCAGAUAUCAGGAGGAACACCAAUGGCGAAGGCAGCUCGCUGGGACGGUACUGACGCUGAGACGCGAAAGCGUGGGGAGCAAACAGG
rnacentral:rRNA from 1 species